AGUAAAGUGGCGUACGGGUGAGUAACACGUGGAUCAUCUACCCUCUAGUGGGGAAUACCCCCGGGAAACUGGGGACAAUACCGCAUAAGCUCGAGAGAGGAAAGCAGCAAUGCGCUGGAGGAGGAGUCCGCGGUCGAUUAGCUAGUUGGUGAGGUAAUGGCUCACCAAGGCUGUGAUCGAUAGCCGGCCUGAGAGGGCACACGGCCACACUGGCACUGAAACACGGGCCAGACUCCUACGGGAGGCAGCAGUGGGGAAUCUUGCACAAUGGGGGAAACCCUGAUGCAGCGACGCCGCGUGAGCGAUGAAGCCCUUCGGGGUGUAAAGCUCUUUCGGCAGGGAAGAUUAUGACGGUACCUGCAGAAGCAGCUGCGGCUAACUACGUGCCAGCAGCCGCGGUAAUACGUAGGCAGCAAGCGUUGUUCGGAGUUACUGGGCGUAAAGGGUGCGU
rnacentral:rRNA from 1 species